GCUCUCAUUGGUCAGCGAGUGAAUGCCGACCUGCAGACUCGUUUCUAAGUUUCUUUUAGUUUCCGGUAUCUCUGCAAUGGCGGCUCUGGACUCCCUGUCGCUGUUCACUAGCCUCGGCCUGAGCGAGCAGAAGGCCCGCGAGACGCUCAAGAACUCGGCUCUGAGCGCGCAGCUGCGCGAGGCCGCUACUCAGGCUCAGCAGACCCUGGGUUCCACCAUUGACAAAGCUACCGGGACCCUGUUAUAUGGCUUGGCCUCCCGACUCAGGGAUACCCGGCGUCUCUCCUUCCUUGUAAGCUACAUAGCCAGUAAGAAGAUCCACACUGAGCCCCAGCUAAGCGCUGCCCUUGAGUAUGUGCGGAGUCACCCCUUGGACCCCGUCGACACUGUGGACUUCGAGCGGGAAUGUGGCGUGGGUGUCAUUGUGACCCCAGAGCAGAUUGAGGAGGCUGUGGAGGCUGCUAUUAACAGGCACCGGCCCCAGCUCCUGGUGGAACGUUACCAUUUCAACAUGGGGCUGCUGAUGGGUGAGCAGGGCCUGGAACGGGGCUAUAUUGUUCUCUCUGGUCAUGCCUUUUCUUCUGGGCACGAGUGAGAAGGAGGUGGGGGAAGGAACAGGAGUGACUUAAAGUGGUCUGGCUGGGCUCAGGCUCUGGUUCUCGUGGUCAGCCAGGACCUUUCCUUGGGAAAGAGGUGGGGGGAGUACUCUUUUUUGCCUUUCUGCAGUUCCUUGUGCCUAUGCUUCUAGGAGAGGCUCGGGCUGUGCUCAAGUGGGCAGAUGGCAAAAUGAUCAAGAAUGAAGUGGACAUGCAGGUCCUCCACCUUCUGGGCCCCAAGAUGGAGGCUGAUCUGGAGAAGAAGCCCAAGGUGGCAAAAACUCGGCUAGAAGAAACAGACCGGAGGAUGGCAAAGGAUGUGAUGGAGAAUGGCGAGACUGCUGACCAGACCCUGUCUCUGAUGGAGCAGCUCCGUGGGGAGGCCCUUAAGUUCCACAAGCCUGGUGAGAACUACAAGACCCCAGGCUAUGUGGUCACUCCACACACCAUGAAUCUACUAAAGCAGCACCUGGAGAUUACUGGUGGGCAGGUACGUACCCGGUUCCCGCCAGAACCCAAUGGAAUCCUGCAUAUUGGACAUGCCAAAGCCAUC
rnacentral:sRNA from 1 species